rnacentral:rRNA from 1 species
AUUGAACGCUGGCGGCAGGCCUCACACAUGCAAGUCGAGCGGAGCGGCGGACGGGUGAGUAAUGCCUAGGAAUAUGCCUGCUCGUGGGGGAUAACGUCCGGCAACGGGCGCUAAUACCGCCUACUCUCAGAUGAGCCUAGGUCGGAUUAUCUAGGGGGGGGGGUAAAGGCCUACCAAGGCGAAGAUCCGGAACUGGUCUGAGAGGAUGAUCAGUCACACUGGAACUGAGACACGGUCCAGACUCCUACGGGAGGCAGCAGUGGGGAAUAUUGGACAAUGGGCGAAAGCCUGAUCCAGCCAUGCCGCGUGUGUGAAGAAGGUCUUCGGAUUGUAAAGCACUUUAAGUUGGGAGGCGUUACCAACAGAAGAAGCACCGGCUAACUUCGUGCCAGCAGCCGCGGUAAGUC